AAAGGGAGGAGGAGGCGCCAUGGCGGCGUUGUCGUGGAGACCAAGGGAGGCCGGGUAUCGGCCCAGCAUUUGGGAGGUGGGACCUCCGGAGCUCUAGAAGCUGGCAAGCGACGAGGAGGAGGAGACCAGGCUAGAGUUCUGCGCCAGGAGUGCAGGUUACGUCUCCUUGACUACGGAUCGCUUUUUUUUUUUUGUCCUCCCUCUCCACCCGGGCAGAACUUAAGGAUCGAUGUCGGUGCCAGGAAGCAGGACGUUUCCCUGGUGUGGACUGGGGGAGAGCGCUCCCUGCGACGCGUGCUCGAGGUGCCCCUGUUGGACAGACUACUGCCCCGUCCUGAGGCCUCAGUUUCUCUUCUCCGUCUCAGCACUGAAGAAGCAUACUUGCAUUUUAGAGCAGAAAGACAUCUGAAGAGAUCAGCUGACGCUCUUUACCUAGAUAGUUCCAGGACUGAUUAUGGCUCAUGCAAGCCUAGUGGGCCAGGGUUAGCCCUACCCCAGCCCGCAGCAUAUUUCCUCCUCUGUAUAAUAAGGAUAAGAGAACCCCCCCCCCCCGAUCUGAAGACUCCUUGCCAUCAAAAGGAAGACAGUGAAAGUUGUUCCUCUUACCAUAUUCAUAAAUGAACAACUGUCCUCAGGAUUCACAAGCGAUGAGUUGCUGACUCAGAACUUUGUCACCAGUUUGCCCACGGCGGCCUAACCUGCCCUGACCCAUCUGUCUGCCCCUGUCUUCUCCUCUCGUUUAGUGAGUUCCAAUCAUGUCUCCUUUCUGCGCCUGGAACACACUGAUCUUCCCAUUUAUCUCUGACGGCCUACUUUGAUUAGCUCCACUUGGAUUUCCUAAUAGGCCUCUGAAACCUAAGCUGCAAACUCUCCCUCUCCAAUCUGCCAGCUGCAGCUGUUCCUGUCACUGGACCUAGGGCCACACCCUCAGGAGGAAACCGUGAGGGAAGCUCUAACGGGCUCCCCAGUGGGAGCUGCAGCCCAUGCCCCCGACCAGGGACCUCAGACCUUCUAGAGGACAACAGAGCUACAUGGCUAUUCCCCUCACCCAGCACUCAAUCAAUGCAGAAUCCAAAACGGGGCUUUCCUGGAAGACGUCUAGAGAGACUCACUCGCUCAAGGGAAGGAAGAGUGGAACACCCAGCCCUCAGGAAGCUCAGGCAGAGAGGAAGCAGCCGAGCCUACGGCCUGGGCCCAGUGUUUCUCUCCAGCUCUCACCUCUCUGUGAGGCUUCAUUGUCUCCUCCUGCAGACUGGCUUUCUCCCCAUGGUGCGAAACAAGGCUGCCAUAAGCUUUCCAGCCUCUCGCAUCUCGGCAUCUGUGCCAGAGCAGUGGACUCUCCAGAGAGAAGGAUCCAGAGAGAGCCACUGAUGGCCAAGUUGGGUGGGAUGGUGCUGCUGUAGCCACGCUGGAUUCCCUCCGGACUUACUGGCACCCCCUCCACCCAAUUUUAUUCGAUCUCAAGGAUUUAAAUUCCAUCUAGAUGCUGAUGCAUCCCUGAAAGGGAGCUUUGCCGUUUUUACUACCUAGCAACUAAAAACUCUGUAAUAGGGAAGGGUGAAGCUACUGUAAUAAAUCCACACAUGGUAAUGGAACGUCA